UAAGAAAUUUUGACGGGUUCGACAAUGACUUCCUGUUUACAUCGUACCAGCCAAAUAGCGACCGGCAUUGCGGGCUGCCAAUUUCGCAACCUCUGCAAUGCUCGGCAAAGCUCGGCACAGCCAGGCUGACACUGGGUAAAAUGGCGGAGUCUGCAAGCUCUUCAGAGCCCCAGCGAACGGUGCGUUAUCUGUCCCAGGAGCUGAGUGACCGGAGAAGAGCAAAAACCGGAGUAAAUAUCGGUGAAGCAUACGCUCGAUGGACUCAGGUAAAGGAUUUCCACGGCAUCUAAACACACGCGGAAAUGGCGAACUUUCUCCUGGAUCGGUCGAUUACCUAUCUUUUCUCGGAGGUAGAACUCCUGGCGUCAAUGUGAGAAGAAUGAUGUGCCGACAGGACCAAUGCCAUUUGGGAAAACUACAGCUUAAAGGGUCGCAAGGGAAAAAAAAAUUCCAGGACCUGGCCAUAUAUCCAAUCAUAGUCCGUACAUUUGUUGUUUUAAUGUUUCUAACUCACCUCACUGCUAUCUAUUUAUACCCAACAAAGACCUUUUAA
rnacentral:lncRNA from 1 species